AUUGAACGCUGGCGGCGGGCUUAACACAUGCAAGUCGAACGAGUGGCGGACGGGUGAGUAAUGUAUGGGGAACUGCCUGAUGGCGGGGGAUAACUACUGGAAAAGGUAGCUAAAACCGCAUACCAUCAGAUGAACCCAUAUGGGAUUAGCUUGUAGGUGUGGUAACGGCUCACCAAGGCGACGAUACCUAGCUGGUCUGAGAGGAUGAUCAGCCACACUGGGACUGAGACACGGCCCAGACUCCUACGGGAGGCAGCAGUGGGGAAUAUUGCGCAAUGGGCGAAAGCCUGAUGCAGCAAUGCCGCGUGAAUGAAGAAGGCCUUCGGGUUGUAAAGUACUGUCAGUAGAGAAGCGUUACCGAAACAGAAAGCACCGGCUAACUCCGUGCCAGCAGCCGCGGUAAUUC
rnacentral:rRNA from 1 species